UUAUUAUUGAAUGUAUGCAUAUAAAUGUAAAACAGAUACAUAUCCGGUCACCAUUUAGGUCUGAGUUGGAUGUAAUUUCAAAAACUGUGCUAUUAAUUUAAGAAAUAUAGUGAUAAAUCUGGGGAUAUUACAAAAUCCCGCGAUAGGACAGAUUAUCUCGCGAGAUAGUGGUGACGUCACGCGUUCUUCCGGAAGUUCACAUUCAAACACGAGGAGCGAUUACGAGAGAGUUUUGUCUAUAUAUCAUUCAAAAUCUACUGUUGGGAAAAGCAGAACCUCAUCCAAAUAAAAAUAAACAAGCUGUUAAAGGCACUGUGUCCUACACAGACCCUCCAAAAUAUAACCACCCAAAACCCAAGUCAGUUGAAGGUCAACACAAACCAAAUAAAGAUGUGCAUUCUACAAACAAUAAAAAAAGAUCAAGUUUUGUGUCCACCACACUUAGAUGAGGCGUGCCCGACCCCUGACUUUGUCUACCCUACAUUAAGUUGCACACUUCAUGACAGUAAACAUCGGUAUCACAAUGGGGUGAUUGAUCUAUACCCUAGAAUAAGCUGUGACACUAUGAGACGUGAGGUAACACAACGAAAAAAUUACCGGAUGGAGACUACCUGAUUCUUCACCUAUGGCCUCAGCUUCAAAUGCAACAUGUCCAGCAACUGUCUGAGCUGGUGUAUAUUCUGUCAGAGACUGCGUGAACAAUGUUAUGAACAGAAUGAUGUCAAAUUGUCUUAUGGCAAAGUUCAAUAUGAGGGGUGGUGGACAUCUGGAAAAGAAGUCUUUUAAAGGCACACCUUUGUAUUAUGUUAUUCAAGAUGCUGUGAAGAGGUGGAGCCCAAAUGCCACAGACUCGGAAAUAGAUGCAGCUAUGGCAGACCACCUCAAGCACGCUCCAGGAAGAGCUGGGGGUGGUGGAUACAAAAAAGCCAAACAGCUGUAAUGUGUUAAAGAGAGAGUUCACCAAAAAAGGAAAAUUGUUAUAAUUUUCUUAUCCACAUGUUUCAAACCUGUAUACCUUUAUAUUUUCUGCUGAACACAAAGAUUGAAGAAUGUUUGUAACUUCACAACCAAUUAGCUGUCAAUAUUUUUU